CGCCUGUUUAUCAAAAACAUGGCCUUUUGAUUAUAAUCUAAGGUCUAACCUGCCCACUGAGUAGUUAAAUGGCCGCGGUACACUGACCGUGCAAAGGUAGCAUAAUCAUUAGUUUCUUAAUUUGAAGCUGGAAUGAAUGGUUGAACAAGAAAAUGGCUGUCUCUAUUUAAAAUUUAGAAUUUUAUUUUUAAGUAAAAAAGCUUAAAUGUAGUUAAAAGACGAGAAGACCCUAUAGAGUUUUAUAUUUUUUUAUAUUUGAAUUUUUAGUAUUAUUACCUUAUUUAUAAAAAUUUAUUUGGUUGGGGAGAUUGAAAAAUUUAAUUAACUUUUUUUAUAUCGAUACAUAUAUUUAUGAGAAAUUGAUCCAUUUUUAUGAUUAUAAGAUUAAAUUACCUUAGGGAUAACAGCGUAA
rnacentral:rRNA from 1 species